UAAAAAAUAUAGGGUGGACAGGGAUUGAUAGACAAUUUAAUUCUUAAUACAAUCGCGGAAUUACAUUUUUUAAAUUAUCCUUACUUUUCAAUACAGUUUGCGCCAAGCGAAGCUACGUCAAAAAACAUGGCGUCCUAAGCCACUAACAUUUUUCGACAGAAACACGAUUUAUCAUAAUAAAAAUGUCCUACUUUGAGCUGUUCUUCCAUCAGUAUCUUGGGCAAAGGAUCCUUUCUUGGGUCUAAUCGUCUUUUGGUGGAAAGCUGUCCUCUUGCCAUGUGGAAAUGCCAACUGCGUUCGGGAUGAACUGGAAGCGUGCCCAGCAAUUCACAGCGUUUCAGAAAUAAAUGUUCCAAAAUCGCACUAAACGGAUAUAAAUUGCUAUAAAACGCUUUAAAUUAACUACCUUAUGAUAUUUUUAACUCCUAUAACGAGUAGAAACAUGACCAGAGUAAUAUUACUCCCUCCACUAAUGCUUGGAACAGGUGCGGGUCGGUGUCCUCCACGCGCAUAACGCAGCUCCAAAAGACUUACUAGCUACAGGGUUUUUUAAUUUAUAGUGCCUGUGAACGCGCAAUCGACCCCAUGCAAAUCGUCAUCAUGUAAAGGCAUCCAGGGGAAGACGUAAGCAGUGUCCGUAUACUCAUAGCAAUAACUGUGGCCUUUUAACUGACUCCAGAUCAGGGGCCAACAUUUCUGAAAUCUGACUCCAUGUCAGGGAAAUUGCUGUAGAAUGGGUUCUGUUCCACUUAGAGACAAAAUUUCAACUCCUAUAGAAACUAUAGACUGUUUUCUAUCCAAUAAUAAUAAUAAUAUGCAUAUUGUACGAUCAAGAAUUUUGUGGGAAGCCGUUUCAAAAAUUACACGAUUAGCAUAAAUAGUGACAACAGCGCCCCCAGCCUCAACAGGUUAACAAGAAAUUUGUGGAGUGGUUGAAAAACAAGUUUUAAUGACUCCAACCUAAGUGUAUGUAAACUUCCGACUUCAUCUGUAAAUAACAGAGAAUGCAGCUCUCUUCUUACAGACAGAGAGGUCUAUCCCACAUUUUUAUACAGGCUAUAAUGAUGAGUUCUAAAAUUGUCCCCUGUGAUAAAACGUAUUGCUGAAUGGUAGACUGCGUCCAAGGGUUUUAAAACAGAGGUUGCCGCAUGCAUGUAAACAAUAUCACCAAAAUUCAAAACAGGGAGAAGCAUAUUUCUCCUAUUUUUUAAUUUUUAUUUUUAUUUUUUUAAAUACAUUUUACCCCCUUUUCUCCCCAAUUUUCGUGGUAUCCAAUCGCUAGUAAUUACUAUCUUGUCUCAUCGCUACAACUCUUGUACGGGCUCGGGAGAGACGAAGGUCGAAAGCCAUGCGUCCUCCGAAGCACAACCCAACCAAGCCGCACUGCUUCUUAACACAGCGCGCCUCCAACCCGGAAGCCAGCCGCACCAAUGUGUCGGAGGAAACACUGUGCACCUGGCCCCCUCGGUUAGCGCGCACUGCGCCCGGCCCGCCACAGGAGUCGCUUGAGCGCGAUGAGACAAGGAUAUCCCUACCGGCCAAACCCUCCCUAACCCGGACGACGCUAGGCCAAUUGUGCGUCGCCCCACGGACCUCCCGGUCGCGGCCGGCUGCGACAGAGCUUGGGUGCGAACCCAGAGACUCUGGUGGCGCAGCUAGCGCUGCGAUGCAGUGCCCUAGACCACUGCGCCACCCGGGAGGCCUUUUCUCCUAUUUUUAAUACUAAGUUGUGAUCUAUAUUUCGAUAUAAAAAAACUAUCUUGGAUCAGAUUUUCUAUAUGCAUUAUGAAGGAUAACUUGUCAUCAAUCCAGACACCUAGGUACUUCUAUUGAGAAACAAGCUCAAUUUGGGCUCCAUUUAUAGCUCAAAUAUGCAGGUCGUCAGGGUCAAUAUUUCAUGACCUAGAGAACAGCAAUGGCUAGGUUUUACUUGUAUUUAACACUCAUUUAAGAUCUGUAAGUGAUUUCUGAAUUGAAUCAAAGUCAUGCUGAAGUUCACGAAUGGCCUGCUGCACUGAGGUGGCACAAAAUUGUGUCAUCUGCAUAGAGAUGAAUGUUACAAGUAUUAACAGUGUUUCGUAUGUCAUUAAUAUACAAAGUGAACAAUAAUGGACCCAAAAUUGAACCCGGAGGGACACCUUUUUGAAUCUCAAGAAAUUCAGGAUGGCCUGAGUUCUGUCACUAAGAUAAUUCUGAAACCAUAAACAGGCUGUAUAUCCCAGGCCUACUCUUUAUCAUUUCUUCAGCAAAACAGAAUGAUCAACAGUGUUGAGCGCCUUUGACAGGUCAAUAAACAAGGCAUGGACAAGAUCAUUAACAACUAGCGUGGUUUUUAGUUUAUUUAUUUAAUCUUUAUUUAACUAGGCCAGUCAGUUAAGAACAAAUUCUUCUUUACAAUGACACACUACCCCGGCCAAACCCGGACGAUGCUGGGCCAAUUGUGCACCGCCCUAUGGGACUCCCAAUCACGGCCGGAUGUGAUACAGCCUGGAAUCGAACCAGGGACUGUAGUAACGCCUCUUGCACUGAGAUGCAGUGCCUUAGACCGCUGCGCCACUCGCCACUCGGGAGCCGUGGUUGCUGUGGUAGUAAUAUGCCCAGGCCUAAACCCUGAUUGGUUUAUAUUAAGAAUACAAUUAUCAGAUAAAAAGGAACGAAGUUGUACAUUAACUAAGAAUUCAAGAAUCCUUUAUAAACAAGGUAUUGUUGAAAUAUGGCGAUAGUUGUCAAGAUAAUUUGUAUCCCCACAGCACAUAUGUGGAUUUCCAUGCUUUUGGAAUACUUCCUGAUUCAAUUUUUUUAAUUAGAAAUGUGAGUUACUCAGCCAGCAAUAAGGGGUGCUGCACACGUAAGCAAACUAGGCUCCAGAUGAUCAGCCCCUGUGGAUUUUUUUGUCUGAUGUUAGCAAAGCAUCCAGGACGUCUUUAUCAAUGAAUUUCCGAAAAGAAAACUCCUGACCAGCGUCGUCAGUAUCAUUUAAUAGAUUUUCACCAUCUACAUCCAAACUACUGCUUUGAAAAUACAUUCAAAUAUAAAGUCUGCAGAGAUAAAAUGGUGAUUAAUAGGGCCAGAAUCUAAAUUCUAUAUAUUCUAUUCUAUCUAAUUUAUUUGGGGAGAGAAGAGGAGACGCAACCCUAAAGUGAUUUAACAGCUUUCCAACAUUUGCCUAGGUUCCCUGUACAUUAAGAUAGUGCAUUAACAUAAUAAUCUGAUUUUGCUUUUUUAACUAGUUUUACACACCGAUUUCUCAAUCGCCUGAAAGACUGCCAGUCUGGGCCCAAGUCUGUGAAUCUAGCUUUGGCCCAGGCAGCAUCUCUGUUGUGUAUGACUUCAGAUAGCACUGGACUGAACCAAGGGCAAGACCGAUUUUUAAUUCUCCGUUUUUUUUAAAGGGAGCAUGUUAAUCUACAAUACAAUUGAAAACAUUUGAGAAGUGGUUCAGAGCCAACUCUGGGUCAGGUAUAGAUGCAAUACAAUCAAAGUCACCAACAUAAAGGUCACAAAAAAAGGCCUGUUCAUUGAAAUGUUUAAAAUUCCUCUUGUUGAUAAAACAAGGUUUGGAUCGAGGCAUCCAUAUAUCCCUGACACAUACAAUGGAACAGUGGUCACUAAUAUCCAAAGCAAAUACCCCUCUCCCAGUAUAUUUCUCUGGAGUAUUUGUAAGUAUGAGGUCAAUCAAAGUCGAUUUCGUAGGGUCCUUUAAGUUUGGACGAGUGGCCUUUGUAAUCAGCUGGGUCACAUUUAGAUUAGUACACUUGAUGUGGAAUAGAGUUCCAUGUAGUCAUGGCUCUAUGUAGUACUGUGCACCUCCCACCGUCUGUUCUGGACUUGGGGACUGUGAUCUCUGGUGGCAUGUCUUGUGGGGUAUGCAUGGGUGUCCAAACUGUGUGCCAGUAGUUCAAACAGGCAGCUCGGUGCAUUCAACAUGUCAAUACUUCUCCCAAAUACAAGUAGUGAUGGUGUUAAUCUCUCCUCCACUUUGGGCCAGGAAAGAUUGACAUGCAUAUUAUUAAUGUUAGCUCUCGGUGUACAUCCAAGGGCCAGCCGUGCUGCCCUGUUCUGAGCCAAUUGCAAUUUUCUUAAGUCCCUCUUUGUGGCACCUGACCACACAACUGAACAGUAGUCCAGGUGUGCCAAAACUAGGGCCUGUAGGACCUGCCUUGUUGAUAGUGCUGUUAAGAAUGCAGAACAGGUCUUUAUUAUGGACAGACUUCUCCCCAUUGUAACUACUGUUGCAUCAACAUGUAUUGACCGUGACAGUUUACAAUUUAGUUUUUGAAAUAUGUAAGACUAUCUUUUUCCUUGCCACCCAUUCUGAAACUAACUGCAGCUCUUUGUUAAGUGUUGCAGUCAUUUCAGUCACUGUGGUAGCUGACAUGUAUAGUGUUGAGUCAUAUGCAUAUAUAGACACGCUGGCAUUACUCAAAUGUCAUUAGUAAAGAUUGAAAAAGGUAAGGGGCCUAGAGAGCUGCCCUGGGGAAUUCCUGAUUCUACCUGGAUUUUGUUGGAGAGGCUUCCAUUAAAGAACACCCCCUGUGUUCUGUUAGACAGGUAACUCUUUAUCCACAAUAUAACAGGGGGUGUAAAGCCAUAACACAUUUUCACAAGUUUUCCAGCAACAGACUAUGAUCGAUAAUGUCAAAAGUUGCACUGAAGUCUAACAAAACAGCCCCCACAAUCUUUAUUUAUCAAUUUCUCUAAGCCAAUCAACAGUAAGUUGUGUAAGUGCUGUGCUUGUUGAAUGUCCUUCCCUAUAAGCAUGAAAGUCUGUUUUCAAUAAAAUAGCAUUGUAUCUGUUCAAACACUAUUUUUCCCAAAAGUUUACAAAGGGUUGGUAAAAGGCUGAUUGGUUGGCUAUUUGAGCCAGUAAAGUGGGUUUUACUAUCCUUAGGUAGGGGAAUAACUUUUUAUUCCCUCCAAGCCUGAGGGCACACACUUUCUAGUAGGCUUAAAUUGAAGAUGUGAUAAUAUCAUCCACUAUUAUCAUCAGUCAUUUUCCAUCCAAAUUGUCAGACCCUGGUGGCUUGUCAUUGUUGAUAGACAACAAUUUUUUCAACUCUUCCACACUUACUUUACGGAAUUCAAAAUGAUAACGCUUGUCUUUCAUAAUUUGGUCAGAUAUAAUUGGAUGUGUAGUGUAAGCAUUUGUUGGGGUCAUGUCAUGCCUAAAUUUGCUAAUCUUACCAAUGAAAAAACAUUAAAGUAGUUGGCAAUAUCAGUGGGUUUUGUGAUGAAUGAGCCAUCUGAUUCAAUUAAUGAUGGAGCAGAGUUUGCGUUUUUGCCCAAAAUGUAAUUUAAGGUGCUCCAAAGCUUUUUACUAUCAUUCUUUAUGUCCUUUAUCUUUGUUUCAUAGUGUAGUUUCUUCUUUCUAUUUAGUUUAGUCACAUAACUUCUCAAUUUGCAGUACGUUUGUCAAUAAGUUGUACAGUCAGACCUAUUAGGGCGACGCACAAUUGGCUCAGCAUUGUCCGGGUUAGGGGAGGGUUUGGCCGGGGUAGGCCGUCAUUGUAAAUAAGAAUUUGUUCUUAACUGACAUGCCUUGUUAAAUAAAGGUAAAAACAUGCCAUUUCUUUUGCCUCAUCCUUUCAACCAUGCAGUUUUUAAAUUCCUCAUCAAUCCACAGGGAUUUAACAGUUUUUAGUCAUUUUCUUAAUGGGUGCAUGCUUAUUAGUAACUGGGAUAAGCAAUUUCAUAAAUGUGUCAAGUGCAGCAUCUGGUUGCUCCUCAUUACACACCACGGACCAACAAAUAUUCUUUACAUCAACAACAUAGGAAUCGCUACAAAGCUUUGUAUGACCUCUUAUGCACUAUAUUAGGCCCAGCCUUUGGAACUUUGAUUUUCCUAGAUAUGGUUACUAUAUUGUGAUCACUACAUACAAUGGAUUUGGUUACUAUUUUCAAACACAUUUCUGCAGUAUUAGUAAAGAUGUGAUCAAUACAUGUUGAUGAUUUCAUUCCUGUGUUGUUUGUAACUACCCUGGUAGGUUGAUUGAUAACCUGAACCUGUUUGCAGGCACUAGUUACAGUUUAAAGCUUUCUUUUGAGUGGGCAGACUUAUGAAAGCCGGUCAAUAUUUAAAUUACCCAUAAAAUAUACUUCUCAAUUGAUAUCACAUACAUUGACAAGCAUUUCACACGUUAUCCAGAUACUGACUGUUAACACUUGGUGGUCUAUAGCAGCUUCCCACCAGAAUGGGAUUUAAGUGAGGCACAUGAACCUGUAGCCAUAUUACUUCAACAGUAUUUAACAUGAGAUCCUCUCUAAGCUUUACAGGAAUGUGGUUUUGAAUAUAAACAGCCACACCUCCACCUUUGGCAUUUCUGUCUUCUGUAGAUCUUCUAACCAUGUAUUGCUACCACUGUAUCAUCAAAGGUAUUAUCUAAGCGAGUUUCAGAGAUUGUCAGAAUAUGAAUGUCAUCUGUUACCAGUGUGAUGGCCCCUCCCUGCUCUGUCCACUGGGUUUUGCUGUGCUUACUUCCUGCAGGAGAUUGGUGGGUGGAGCUGGGAGGGUCGUCAGUGCUGAUGGGGCUCAGCUGUGGCAUAAAGCCACUGUUUCCCCAUUCAGUUUCCCCCAUUCCUCUCUCCAUGCCUUCCUUUGGUUCUUUCGUUGUGGCUUUGUGCAGUUGAACCCUAAUUUAUGCUUCAUACCUCAUCUGAAAAAAGUGUUUACUUUAUUUAUGGAAUAAAUUCACUUCAUUCAGUGUGUGGUUUCCCAUUGUUUGUUACAAUCUUGAGCCAGGUUGUAACACUAACAAAUGAUUGAUUUCAUGAACCUUGUUUCUUAAACUACAUACAUGAGCUACUUUUAACACUUUUCUGGGAUUCUUAAUUGUUUUUCUUGCAUUACUGGGAAGCUUAGCAGAGGUAGACAUGCUUGGGUUAUUUAUGUUAGUGCUGGGUGAGCUGCACACAGUGUACUUCCUGCUAGGGCACCCCACCUCUGUGCUAACAGUAUAACUCCGGUUCAUAGGCAUAUGAUUUUUGCAUACAAUAGCUGUAGGAUCAGCAGAGGCAUUCAGGGCAGUAAGAGGGAUAUAAAUUAGGUUACUUGCAUUGUCUUCCAAGGCCCGUAGAAUAAUGUACAUUUGCUGAAGCAUUAUGACAACUCAGCGACACAAUUUGUAGGGCUUAAAUGAGCUGGGCUUGUGUCAUUGAUACGUCAUUGUUUCAACGCAGCCUUAAAUUGCUGUGAAAGGAUCCAGGAGUCCAAAUGAUGUGGGUGGUAGUCUCGUAGCCAGUUAUGGAGGGCUAAAAGUCUGCUGAACCGUUCAAUGCCAUGAUUUAGAGAGGGCAGAGGGACACAUGUUUUGAGGCAAUACAGUGUUUGUUUAUGUUUACAUUGUUUACAAACAUGAGUAACAUGAGUAACAAGCUGAUGGGGUAUGACAGUUGAACUAAGUUUUGACAGUUGACAGUGACAGUUGACAGUUGAACUAAGUUUUGAGGCAUUUAUUUAUGUUAUUUUCUUCAAUAAUCAAUUGGUAUAUUUCAUUAAUUUAAAAGUCUUAAAACGGAUGUAGCAACUGCAGGGUGCCUCUUUAAAGGAUUGAUGGUCUCAAGUCACACCGGUCAGAACCUGUACCUUUUUAAACGUCUUAGUAUUCAUAGAAUAAGUCCUCUGGUAUCAAUCACUGUCUGUUCUAUAAUCAGCCCUAAUUCAACCCUCUGUGUACAGAACAAGGGCAUAGAGACACAACAACAAAGACUAAGAGUGAAGGAGAAUUUAUAUGAGCUGGACCCCAGUUGACCUUCAGAUGCCGUAUAGAGACAUCAAUACGUUUUACUGCCAUGCAAUGUAAAGCCCUUUGAGUCCUUAAAAAGACUUUAUGAUCAUAACAAGAGUAUUAACUCCUGUAUCUUUCCACUUCAGAGUAUAGGGAAGGUUGUGUUCUGGCGUUUAUGACCGUGUCAUGUCCAGUUAGUGUUUGUAGUGGACCACACAUGUUGACCGACCGAGUAGAUGACCGCUCAGGAUGUAACCGUCCAUUUCACAGUCAGGUCAACCUCUCUACAACCCCAGCUGUUGGUCUACUUAAGUACUGUUCCCAUGGGGAAUGUGUUCCACAAUAUUUAUUUCAGGCAACAAGCUAUUUACAUAUGUAUUUAAACUGAGGAAGGACAUUCCGCACAAGGUUGUGUGUGACAUUAUAGUAAAAGAGGGGAGAGUUCAUCUAAAAUAACUAUGUAUUUAGAUCCAUGGACAUGUUUAGCUCUGUCUGUCAGACUAUGCAAUAUUGCCCAGGAGGCUUCCUAUGACAUGUAUUGAUUUAAAAAGCAUUUCACACACAGUAAAAUAUGAGGUUGAGAUGGAUCAACUUGUCUGUAAUACAGUAUCUGUCACCAGUUUAAGACACGAGGCAUGACUUUUGAUUUAAAGAACAGCACUCCAGUCAGAAUGUAUCCUAUCCGCCAUCACUCCUCUGCUCCAGACGGCCUCUGUUUUUCAUGCCAUCAGAGGGGCUGUGCCAGUGUGCUAAAUGUAAUAUGCCACCGACUUGAAAGAGCUGCACGCCAAAGCAGUGCCACUCUCUCCACAAAGGUUCUGCUGCGCGUCGCCAUGUCAACCAUAAAUAAUGCAUGAGGCUGAGAGACAUCGACGACCUGUGCCUACUGAACCCGAUACACCACGGGCUUAUUAAUCUCUGCUAUGAGAGGAAUAUCAACAGUCCUCUCAUUAAAGGAAAACUUCACCGCCAGACACUAUUUGGUGUGUUUUUCCAGUCUCCCUACAUAAUUCUGAUUGAUGAGAGGGUGUUUCAGACAUAAUUAUGCACUAUAGCUGGAUUAUUUAUUUUUUUCGUGCUAGGAGACGUCUAAUCUAAAAAAUAAAUGGUGUCACGUUUUGUAGCAAUAAUUGUGGCCUUUGUGUUUCGCCGAUUGCAUGAUCACGAUAGCAGCGAUUAGAUAUGGUUGUCCUUGCUCAAUAGAGCCUUUGGACUGCCAGGACAUUGCAGGACAUCCAAAUUGACUCAUUUUCCCUGGCUUUGUAAAGACUACGGCCUGACGGGAGGUCUACUUUCUUGUUUCCACUUUCCAAAUCAGGCUUUUCAAAACACGGGCGGUACAAGUUUACAGCUUCACUAGAGACAUGUUAUCUAUCAGAGAUUGCUAAUGAAUUAGCUACAAUGGCUGUUUCUGAUGAUUCCUCUUUCCAAGAAGAACUGGACAUUGAUUUUUUUUAAAUGUUCUUUUACAUAGGAACAUACAGCCCUAUUUAUUUGAGCCGGAAUACACUGAAGAGGAGUUGAGACCGAGAAAAAUAAUUGCGAGACAAGCAAGCAGUGGCGGUAGCCUAGACCAGCUGGACCAGGACUCAGGAGGGCAAAUGACAAAGAAACAAUACCGCUUGGAUACAAAGAAGUUGAUGACUCUCAAGAGGAGAUGCGAAAGGUCCUAUAACAACAAUCGCCCCCUUGUAUCAAAGUGACUCUAAACACCUCACUGCACCAUCCCAACAUACCCUAUGCAAGUAUUCCCUUUGUAGAACUGUGGUAUGUAUUAUAAGCAUUCGUAGUAUAUUUAUCUUCUACUGUAUAUACAGUUGAAGUCGGAAGUUUACAUACACUUAGGUUGGAGUCAUUAAAAUUGUUUUUUCAACCACUCCACAAAUUUCUUGUUAACAAACUAUAGUUUUGGCAAGUCGGUUAGGACAUCUACUUUGUGCAUGACACGAGUAAUUUUUUCCAACAGUUCUUUACAGACAGAUUAUUUCACUUAUAAUUCACUGUAUCACAAUUCCAGUGGGUCAGAAGUUUACAUACACUAAGUUGACUGUGCCUUUAAACAGCUUGGAAAAUUCCAGAAAAUGAUGUCGUGACUUUAGAAGCUUCUGAUUGGCUAAUUGACAUAAUUUGAGUCAAUUGGAGGUGUACCUGUGGAUGUAUUACCUUCAGACUAGGUGCCUCUUUGCUUGACGUCAUGGGAAAAUCAAAAGAAAUCAGCCAAGACCUCAGAAAAACCAUUGUAGACCUCCACAAGUCUGGUUCAUCCUUGGGAGCAAUUUCCAAACGCCUGAAGGUACCAGGUUCAUCUGUACAAACAAUAGUACGCAAGUAUAAACACCAUAGGACCACGCAGCUGUCAUACUGCUCAGGAAGAAGACACGUUCUGUCUCCUAGAGAUGAACGUACUUUGGUGCGAAAAGUGCAGAUCAAUCCCAGAACAACAGCAAAGGACCUAGUGAAGAUGCUGGAGGAAACAGGUACAAAAGCAUCUAUAUCCACGGUAAAACGAGUCCUAUAUCGACAUAACCUGAAAGGCCGCUCAGCAAGGAAGAAGCCACUGCUGCAAAAGCGCCAUAAAAAAGCCAGACUAUGGUUUGCAACUGCACAUGGGGACAAAGAUCGUACUUUUUGGAGAAAUGUCCUCUGGUCUGAUGAAACAAAAAUACAACUGUUUGGCCAUAAUGACCAUCAUUAUGUUUGGAGGAAAAAGUGGACGCUUGCAAGCCGCAGAACACCAUCCCAACUGUGAAGCACGGGGGUGGCAGCAUCAUGUUGUGGGGGUGCUUUGCUGCAGGACGGACUGGUGCACUUCACAAAAUAGAUGGAUUCAUGAGGUAGGAAAAUGAUGUGGAUAUAUUGAAGCAACAACUCAAGACAUCAGUCAGGAAGUUAAAGCUUGGUCGCAAAUGGGUCUUCCAAAUGGACAAUGACCCCAAGCAUACUUCCAAAGUUGUGGCAAAUUGGCUUAAGGACAACAACGUCAAGGUAUUGGAGUGGCCAUCACAAAGCCCUGACCUCAAGCCUAUAGAAAAUGUGUGGGCAGAACUGAAAAGGCGUGUGUGAGCAAGGAGGCCUACAAACCUGACUCAGUUGCACCAGCUCUGUCAGGAGGAAUGGGCCAAAAUUCACACACUUAUUGUGGGAAGCUUGUGGAAGGCAUGGUGAAAAUCUGAGUUUAACUAUAUUUGGCUACGGUGUAUAUAAACUUCUGACUUCAACUGUAUGUCAUACAUUGACAUAACAGUCCCUGCAUACUGCUGUGUAAACUCACCUCGGUCUCCAGAGCAAAUAAACUUUGUCUUGAAUACAA